ensembl:misc_RNA Metazoa_SRP Metazoan signal recognition particle RNA
GCGGGGUGUGCCUGUAGGCCCAGUUACUCAGGAGGCUGAUGCAGGAGGAUCGCUUGAGCCCAGGCAUUCUGGGCUGGAAUGUGCUAUGCAGAUUCGGUGUCUGUACUAAGUUCAGUACCAAUGAAUUCCUGGGAGCAGGGGUCACCCAGUCACCCAGGUUAAGGAGGGGUGUACUGGCCCAGGUUGGAAGCAGAACAGGUCAAAACUCCUGUGCUGAUCAAUAGUGGGAUUGUGCCUGUGAAUAACCGCUAUAACCACCGUCCCCCAGACUGGACAACAUAGUGAAAAUU